CGACUAGUAUUGCUCCAAGGGAGAACAUCUAUCUGAAGUUUCGAAAAGGUUAUCAAUAUGGACAUGCGCGUGACACUUAUACUGAUAGUCUUGGUUGCCAUGACAAUGGGACUUCAUUUGAGGAGCCGUUUUGGCUUAAAACAGGGUGAUGAGAUACAAGGUAAAGUUCUCCAGCAAGGGUGGCCCUGGAAGAAGAGAGCUUGUAAAAAAUGCUACCGUCGUUUUAUUACCACUCCCACGGACUGUUGCACUCCGGAUCAAACUUGUAAAUGGGAUGGAAAAUGUCAUUAAACCGAUGUGAGCACAAAUCGAAGAAAGUACAGAGAUGUUGUGGAGCUAGUGAAGAUAUUUAAACGUGCGAUUUCAUGUUCCAUUCAAGUCAGAAACUUUUCGUAACCGGUAGUAUUUUUUGUAGAAAAUAGAAUAAUAAGCUCCACUGAUCUUUGAAAUAAAAUAACUGCCUAUUGGCGU